rnacentral:rRNA from 1 species
CGAACGGGUGAGUAACGCGUGAGGAACCUGCCUCAAAGAGGGGGACAACAGUUGGAAACGACUGCUAAUACCGCAUAAGCCCACGGGUCGGCAUCGACCUGAGGGAAAAGGAGCAAUCCGCUUUGAGAUGGCCUCGCGUCCGAUUAGCUAGUUGGUGAGGUAGCGGCCCACCAAGGCGACGAUCGGUAGCCGGACUGAGAGGUUGAACGGCCACAUUGGGACUGAGACACGGCCCAG